rnacentral:misc_RNA from 1 species
GUGCUGUUCGAAUUGAGUGCUGAUGAUGCUUUUUGUGAGUAUAAAUUCAUAAAAAAAAUUUGAUCAUAUAAUGCUGCAUUUUACUGCCCUGCAUUUUUUCCACAAAAGCUGGGGCAGUUGCAUUAGGCUUAUGUAUCUGCAAUUCUUUACAAAGCGGCACUCUUAAGGGACUUGAUGAGGAUUGAUGUAGAUUUUUGUUGUACCUUCCUGUUGAACCAAAACUGCAGAGGAAAACUUCAGCCUUUCUACAGUAUAUGAUUAAUGCUUGGUUUUGAACACUGGGUUUGCCUUUCAUAAGUUGUGUUAAAAUUUCAUUUGCUUGGGAAUGAUUGUCAAAUGUGUAACUUUUGCAAUUUAACAAGUUGAAA